rnacentral:rRNA from 1 species
UACGUAGGGUGCAAGCGUUAAUCGGAAUUACUGGGCGUAAAGCGUGCGCAGGCGGUUUUGUAAGUCUGUCGUGAAAUCCCCGGGCUUAACCUGGGAAUUGCGAUGGAGACUGCAAGGCUGGAGUCUGGCAGAGGGGGGUAGAAUUCCACGUGUAGCAGUGAAAUGCGUAGAGAUGUGGAGGAACACCGAUGGCGAAGGCAGCCCCCUGGGCCGAACCUGACGCUGAGGCGCGAAGGCUAGGGGAGCGAACGGG